CUUAACGACAUAUCAUUACUGAUGAAUGACAGCAACAUCCUACCUUCAAUGAAAAGAUCUCAGAAUCUUCGUCUGUUAGAGAGGGACAGACCCUCCACCUUCUCCCGCCUGUGAGGAUACAUUCUACGGAGGGUAACACGUUGUUCGACAGCUGACAAUUCUUCUUCAUCUUGCUUCUGGGUAAUUAUAACUCCCAGCUUUCCAACCUGUGCUACAGUCUCCUGGGUGAAUCAGAUGAAGACCUGGAGUCUUUUUGCAUGUUUAAGUAGCAAUCAUCACGUUGUAGGGCUGAUUAAGACCAGCGUGCUGAAAUUCAUCAACUCAGGACACUGCUGUGUGUUACCGAAACAGCUAGUCCAGCGAUGGUGCUGUUCUCUGUGGUCUGAUUACUGUAAAAGUUUGAGGAGCACUGUGCCUACCUUAAAGCAAGAGGAAUGACAGGACCAUGCCAGCAUUACAAUCAACACCUCAAGCAACUGAAACAGUCCCCUGAAUUCCAUGAGGACUCAAUAAACUUUCGAUCAUGAACCACGGAGCAGAGCAUGGAAAGGAAGAGUUACAGAGAGGCUAAAGAGUGUGGGCUUCUGAAUCUCAUCAGCCCUUGAAUGAAGUCCAGAUGUUCAGCCUCUUUCUAUGGACUUGGUGGAUUUAGAAUUGAAGCAACUAUAGCUUUGUUGGGAGUUUUGAAGCCAUGGAGUGUAACACACAGGAGAGACACUAAAGCCACUCAUAAAAAUUUCAACCUCACAUCAUUCAACUUCUCUGGACUUCAAAUACCCUCGUCUCUAAAAUGGAAUGACUGUGACUUACACCUGCCCCUUCCUAGGGCUGGUGGAUUGAACAUAUGAGAUACGCGAAAGUAUUUUGCCAACUUGUGAGACCUAUGCGAAUACUUCUGUCUGUGUGUUUGUUUAUUUGAUUGAUUGUUUAUUUGUAGAAGCUUAUUUCUUGGCACCACCUGGAAAUUCCUAUGCAACUUCACUAAUAUCUACAUUCCUCCAAAUAUAUCUAACAGAUUGAUUCAAGGCC